CAGCCGCCACGGGAAUACGUAGGGUGCAAGCGUUGUCCGGAAUUAUUGGGCGUAAAGAGCUCGUAGGCGGUUUGUCGCGUCUGCUGUGAAAUCCCGAGGCUCAACCUCGGGCUUGCAGUGGGUACGGGCAGACUAGAGUGCGGUAGGGGAGAUUGGAAUUCCUGGUGUAGCGGUGGAAUGCGCAGAUAUCAGGAGGAACACCGAUGGCGAAGGCAGAUCUCUGGGCCGUAACUGACGCUGAGGAGCGAAAGCGUGGGGAGCGAACAGGAUUAGAUACCCGGUAGUCCCUGUCUCUUAUACA
rnacentral:rRNA from 1 species